rnacentral:rRNA from 1 species
GGGCUUCACACGUCAUACAAUGGUCGGAACAGAGGGUCGCCAACCCGCGAGGGGGAGCUAAUCCCAGAAAACCGAUCGUAGUCCGGAUUGCACUCUGCAACUCGAGUGCAUGAAGCUGGAAUCGCUAGUAAUCGCGGAUCAGCAUGCCGCGGUGAAUA